rnacentral:lncRNA from 1 species
CCCGGCAGUGUGACUCCGGAAACAGCCUGUUGGGCUCCUCGAAGGCCCCGCCCGAGAGGCAGGGAGGUUUUGAUUAUGAAGAACACAAAUCUACAAAGCACUGAACUAUGAUGGAAUGGAGAGAGCAUCUUGAGGCGGCUGCGGACAAAACCCUGCCCGCCAAGGAGAUGAAAGUCUGAGCAUGAGUCACCUCCAGGGCGAGAGCGGUCACAUCUCCCCAGUGAGGAGACGCUUCCUGCCAGGGUGAAAGAUGAAAUGGAGAAGGCGCACUUGGUAAAGAAGCUGACUGAGCAUGCGGUGGACGCAGCCCACUGUGGAGGUGGUGGGCAGACCCUGACAAGAAGUAGACUCUAACAGGACACCAUCACACGGAACCCUCUCCAUGCAGCCUCGCUGGCUCCGGGAACUGGCGUCACCCACCUGCCAGGGUCUCUGUUCAGGUGACGUGGGGUCAGCACCAUACGGCCCCCUACCACGAGUCCCUCUGGCAGCACAGAUUUCAGGUGGAAUCGGAGGGAGUCACCGGGCGUGGACCGAAGCUCUCCUCACCUGGACGUGCGAGCAGAUGAUCAGAAUCAGGUGCAGGAAGCUUUAAAUAUGGAGAAGCUCUGCAAAGCCAUGUGUGUAUCCAGCUGCAGAACAAGUAAGCCCUGUGGGCGUGGCCUCUAAUGUCCAUCAGGGGCCUCUCCACCCAGUCCUGGUGCCUGCUCCCAUGAAUCCUGAGGAUGCUAGAGGAUAAAGCAAURUAACUUUAUGCACCAACAUCGGGAGGUUAGAAUUCCACAGAGAACACCGGGGUGCGCACCGGGGUCCCCUGCACCCCCUAGCUGGGUGGAGCCCUACCAGCUGGUUUUAGCACUGCUGUCAGGUGGCGAAUGUCUGAGACAAUGGAACUGGGCUGCUCCUUUGGUUAAGUCAAGGCUUAGUCUUAUGCAAGUCUGACUGUGCAGAUUGGGUUGCAUAGUUUAGGGGAUAAUUGUCUCUGUCUAAAGCUAAGAAAACAUUUGUGGACAAUUAAAAUCCUCUCAUGACGUGGGCAUUCAACUUUGCUCUUUCUCAAUAUGCCCAGCACAUUUUACUGCCAGAGACCAAGAGUCUUAGAUGGAUUUGUGAGUAUCAUGAGGGUCAUGUUUAAAUACAUCUCUUAACAUACUAUAUAAAAAUUCUAAGCUAGAAAUGUGUAUGACUUUCAAAUGAGGAUUGACAGUAACAAACAAUAACAAACUGCAACAUUAGAAACACAUUCACAGAAGAUGAAC